UUUUUUUUUUUUUCAUUUUAGGCAGAAUCUCUGUGAUAGCAUUUACUCUGCUUAAUAGAGUGCAAAUAAUGAGAUUUUUUUAAAAGUCAUUUUUUAGCUGUAAAUUCUUGGGCAAAUUACUUCUUAUCCUUGCUGUAAAAUAAUAAUUGUUCCUUCUUCAUAAUUUUUCUUUUCUUUUUUGAGGACCAGAUAAGUAAUCUAUUAAGAGACCUUAAUGUACUAACACGCAGCAAGGAGUCCAUCUGUAGUAACCAUGAUUAUCACUAAUCUCUCUCCAGCCAGCUCAAGUGCUUAAAGCUUGAGAAAGUGUUUGACGGCAAUUUCCCCAGCAGGUUGUAUGGAGGUGACUCUGAUUCUCACUAUUAUUAUUUUGUCUUUUAUGAUCAUAUCUUUCAUCAUCACAUUAUAUAGGUAUGAAGGCUCUGUGUAAUAACCAAAUGGAAGUCAGAGCAAUCAUUCUUAUGCUGUCACUCAGCCCAGUAACAGGUGAUUUGUAAGAGUUAAAACAACUUAAACUAAACAACAACAACAAAAACAAAAACACUCAAAUUGGGGAUUCUGAAUAUGGGAUUCAUGAAUGGACUUUAAGGGAAUGGGAAACCACCUAAUAUUUCCUUCAAAUCAUUGACUUUUUGGCCCAGGUAAUUUUGGGGACUGUCCUGUGCACUGUAUUUAGCGGGAUCUCGGGUCUUCACCCACUGGAUGCCAGUGAUACUCCCCAGUCAUGGGUUAUGAUAAUCAAAAUUAUCUUCAGACCUUGCCAAACAUCCCUUUCCUUCUUCAGAAUCACUGUGGUAAAACUUUAUACGUAUGUGCAUUUUUUUUUUUCUGAAAGGCUUAUCAGUUUCAUCAUAUUUUUUAAAAGACCUGUGACCUUAAAAGGCUUGGAACCAAUCACUUAAGAUCUUUCAAAAUAAUAAUAAAAGAACACAUAUCUUCAGCUGUCGUUGUGGGAAAAAUGUACACCAUCAUGGCUAAUUAAAAUGGUGCAGUCUGAAAAUCUGCUAUGAAAUAUAUACCUGCCAAUUUAUUAUUUUCAACUCCUCUAAAAAGGCACCUCACAAAAACUAUAUCUGGGAAACUGUCUACUUCAAAAACUGCUGUUCCCAGAUGGCACACUUCUUAAAAUACUGUCUUCAGUAGAGACUCCCACAGUCAUCUACUGAAUCUAGCUCUCAACUUCUAAAGGGGUUAGUGCUAAUGACAAGUGGAAAAAGUCCUUAAGUCCAGAGGGGAACUAAAAAUCAGUUGUUUCGCAGAAAAGAAAUCAAAUGAUGGAAUAAACUGCAAAAUUGAUCAGGAGGCAAGAUGGAGCAGAAGGGAGGGAGGAAGUGAAGAGAAAGGGAAGGAGGGAGAGAGAGAAAGAGAGAGAGAGAGAGAGAGAGAGAGAGAGAGAGAGACCUUUGAAAUAGAGUAUCGCUUGGGAGAGGCUCGCUAGAGGUCUGCCCUGGCUCCUCUGGAAAGGCAGAUGCCCCCAUGCCAUACAGGAGCCUUGGGCUCUCUGCUGUGCUUUAAUUCCCACGUCCACAACCGCCUCGUUCAACGCCUUCCAAAGUGACCACUUCUCAAAAGCCUCCUCAAAUCUCAAAGGGGCCACUUUACCCACUCUGUAAGGCCCUCUUUCCCGUCUACGGCUUCUAACGGCGGCAGGAAAACAAGCAUAAACCCGAACAGUAAACCCAGAAAAGCCAACAGGCAAAGUGUGUCAUCUUCCGUGGCCCCUCGGGGUCACCCAGGAAGACAAGCAACUUUCUCCCAUACUUCUCGGUCUGUCUGCCUUCCCCACUCUC
rnacentral:lncRNA from 1 species